rnacentral:rRNA from 1 species
CCUGGCGGCGACAGCGCGGUGGUCCCACCUGACCCCAUGCCGAACUCAGAAGUGAAACGCCGUAGCG